ACUAAAAGCUCAAACUGAAUAUCAAUUGCACAUUGUAUUUCUAUUGUUUUGCACAUUUUCAUAGGCAUCUACGAUAAUCAAAAGAAAGGCCAGAGAAAGUUUAGAUAAAAUAUCUGUUGAAGCAGACAAUGGAGUUGAUGUCCAUUCCAUCCUCGAGUAUUAGUCACCUCAUACCAAUGGUAGAGCUUGAAAAGCUAUUAACAAAACGAGACGACAGGCUCAUGAUCAAGGUCUUCAUAAUGAAGCAACCAUCUUACUCUAAGGUUAGUGCCUUCAUUGAAUCACUUAAUUCCUCCUCCAUCAGCAUUGUAUCCAAUUCAUUGACCUCCCUUCUGAAGACAAACCCACCACUUCUUUCGAUUUCUUUUCAUUUAUAGAAAGCAAAAAACCCCAACUCAAAGUUGUUCUUUCCAAGCUUACUCUUGUCUAGUCAAGCUCCAAUACAUCUCGAGUAGCUACAAAUGUCUUGGACAUGUUCUGUACACCGAUGAUAGAUGUGGCUAAUGAAUUUGGUAUCCCUACAUACAUAUACUAUGCCUUGGGUGCUAAUUUUCUUGGUCUCAUUUUUCAUAUUCAAACCCUUCAUGAUGAACAAAACCAGGACAUUGUUGCUUACAAAGACUCGGACACUAAGCUUGUUAUGCCAAGUUUUUUUCAACAAAGUCCCAGCUAAGGUCUUCCCUUAUGGACUUUUUGAUAACUCCAUUUUUUUUAUUAACCAAGUAAGGCAAUUCAAAGAAGCAAAGGGUAUUAUUAUAAAUACAUUAAUGGAACUUGAACCCUUCGCAAUAGACCCCUAUUUUAAUGCCAAUACACCACAAUUUUACCCUAUGGGACCUAUAAUGAACCUGAAGGGCGAAACCCAUGAGACCCAAGAGCCCCAAAAUGGUUUUGAUAUCGCUUUCCCUUGCACUUCUUUCUCUGGACCUUUCUUGCUCUUCGGUCUUCUUGGUGGGUCUUUGGGCCUUGAUUUUAAUUGGGCUUUCUUCCUUAUGGGCUUUUGGAUAUGGAUUUGCAAAAAUGGGCAUCAACAACGAUCAGCCUCUAUCAUUGUGGUAUUCUUAUGCUUUGGUAGCAUGGGAAGCUUUGAAAAAGACCAAGUUAAAGAGAUAGCAUAUGCAUUAGAGCAUAGUGGCCGUCGUUUCCUAUGGUCCCUGCAUAAGCCACCACCAAGUGGUGGGAUUGCAAGUCCAAGUGAUUACAUGACCCUUGAGGAAAUUCUGCCACAAGGGUUCAUCGAACGAACACAAGUUAUUGGUAAGGUUAUUGGGUGGGCUUCACAAGUGGCAACCUUGGCCCACUCAGCAAUCGGAGGGUUUGUUUCACAUUGUGGGUGGAAUUCUAUGUUGGAGAGCCUUUGGUUUGGUGUGCCUAUUGCUGCUUGGCCAAUGUGUGCUAAACAACAAAUUAAUGCUUUCGAGAUGGUGAAAGAGUUGGGAUUAGCUAUUGAGGUUAAAAUGGAUUAUGAUAAUAGUAAGCAAAUUACUGUAAUAGCUAAGGAGAUAGAGAGAGGGCUUGAAGCACUCGUCAGACUCAACCAUCAAAAUCCUGCUGCUUUUGCCUGGGUGUCUAAGACACAGAAAGUAACAGAGUCCAAUUUACAACGCCUUUCUCACUGUCAAACGAAGAUGCCUCCUAAAAGAAGAGGAGAGAUAGAGGUGACUACAGAGGAGAUGCAUUACACUGCCAUUUGCCUCCUUAUCUAUAGUUCAGAGGUUUUUGCAAUCAAAGGAGACUGGAAAGUUGCUAAAGAUGUCAUUGAAAAAUAUCCAGUUAUUGUUCGUGUUGCGAUAACCAGAAAGUGGGAGACAGCUCUGCAUAUUGCUGCUGCAGCAAAACGCACUGCUUUUGUAAAGGAGCUGAUUAAACAUAUGAACGAAGAGGAUCUAGCCUUGAAAAAUAAAGAUGACAACACUGCUAUUUGUUUUGCUGCCGCAUCAGGAAUUGUGGAAAUUGCUGAGGUCAUGGUGGAAAAAAACAAUAACCUUCCUAUGAUUCGAGGUAAUAAAGGAAUGAGACCCAUAUACAUGGCAGCUUUGUUUGGACACAGGAAUAUGGUGUCAUACCUCUAUCCUGUUACUAAUUUUGGAAGCCUAGCUCGUGAGGAACAAAUUAGCCUCUUUCUUGCUACAAUUUCAGCUGAUUUAUACGAUCUAGCUUUAAAAAUAUUGAAAGAGGACAGAUCAUUAGCCUAUGCUCGAGAUACAAAUGGUGAGACUGCCUUGCAUGUUUUGGCUCGAAAGCCUUCAACAAUUGCGAACAGAAGUGAUCUGGGAAUCUGGAAAAGAAGCAUAAAUUCAUGUUUCAAAUGGAUAUAUCACAAAGAUCUGAUGCAGACGUUAGCCCAUCAACUAGUCGAAAAACUUUGGGAACAUGUUCUACAAUUGCAAGAUUGGGAGAUUUCAAAACUAAUUAAAACACCUUCAAAACUACUCUUUGAUGCGGCAGAAUUAGGCAAUGUAGAGUUUCUGAUUAUCCUUAUUCGCGCAUAUCCUGAUCUGAUAUGGAAAGUUGAUCAAAAUAAUCGAAGUUUGUUUCAUACUGCGGUUCUUUAUCGUCAGGAGGCCAUCUUUAAUCUAAUAUAUGAGAUUGGAGCAAUUAAAGAUUUGAUAGCAGCAUAUAAGGAUAAAAAUAAUAAUGAUAACAAUAAUAUCCUGCAUCUAGCUGGAAACUUGGCACCACUUAGUCAACGUCAAAUUGUAUCAGGAGCUGCACUUCAAAUGCAAAGAGAGCUAUUGUGGUUUCAGGCAGUGGAGAAAAUUGUGCCACCUUCAUAUAUUAAGAUGAAGAAUUCAAAAAACCAGACACCCAAGGAGCUAUUUUCUGAGGAGCACAAGAAGUUGUUAAAAGAAGGAGAGAAGUGGAUGAAGAGCACUGCAACUUCAUGCAUGCUUGUUGCAACGCUCAUUGCCACUGUGGUAUUUGCUGCAGUUAUUACAGUACCAGGAGGAGAAAAUAAUAAUACAGGCGUUCCUAUAUUUCUAAGAGAGAAGUAGUUUUUGAUUUUUGUCAUAUCGGAUGCAAUAGCACUGUUCUCUUCCUCAGCUUCAAUAAUAAUGUUCUUGUCCAUUCUUACGUCACGUUAUGCAGAAAACGAUUUUCUUAUAUCACUACCCACAAGGUUGAUGUUUGGAAUCUCGACCCUGUUUAUCUCUAUUGCUACAAUGGUGCUAGCCUAUACUGGAGCCAUCUUUCUGAUCCAUGAUCAUAAAUAUGUUUGGGUUCCUAUCCUUAUUGUGUUUCUUGCUUGUGCUACAGUCUCAUUAUUUGCUUGGCAACAUUUUCAUCUUUGGGCUGAUACAAUCCGCUCAACCUAUUGGUCUAGGUUUCUCUUUCGGCCAUUUAAACAUAGGCUUUACAAUUGAAUUGUCAAAUUUGCCGAUGUACUUAUGGAGAUAGUGAAUAAAAAUCCUUUAUCUCA